UACGUAGGGUCCGAGCGUUGUCCGGAAUUACUGGGCGUAAAGAGCUCGUAGGUGGUUUGUCGCGUUGUUCGUGAAAACUCACAGCUUAACUGUGGGCGUGCGGGCGAUACGGGCAGACUUGAGUACUGCAGGGGAGACUGGAAUUCCUGGUGUAGCGGUGGAAUGCGCAGAUAUCAGGAGGAACACCGGUGGCGAAGGCGGGUCUCUGGGCAGUAACUGACGCUGAGACGCGAAAGCGUGGGGAGCAAACAGG
rnacentral:rRNA from 1 species